UCCUACGGGAGGCAGCAGUGGGGAAUAUUGCACAAUGGGCGCAAGCCUGAUGCAGCAACGCCGCGUGAGGGACGAAGGCCUUCGGGUUGUAAACCUCUUUUAGUAGGGAAGAAGCGACUGGGUUUUCCUGGGAGUGACGGUACCUGCAGAAAAAGCACCGGCUAACUACGUGCCAGCAGCCGCGGUAAUACGUAGGGUGCAAGCGUUGUCCGGAAUUAUUGGGCGUAAAGAGCUCGUAGGCGGUUUGUCGCGUCUGCUGUGAAAACCCGAGGCUCAACCUCGGGCCUGCAGUGGGUACGGGCAGACUAGGGUGCGGUAGGGGAGAUUAGAAUUCCUGGUGUAGCGGUGGAAUGCGCAGAUAUCAGGAGGAACACCAAUGGCGAAGGCAGAUCUCUGGGCCGUAACUGACGCUGAGGAGCGAAAGCAUGGGGAGCGAACAGGAUUAGAUACCCUGGUAGUCCAUGCCGUAAACGUUGGGAACUAGAUGUGGGGACCAUUCCACGGUCUCCGUGUCGCAGCUAACGCAUUAAGUUCCCCGCCUGGGGAGUACGGCCGCAAGGCUAAAACUCAAAGGAAUUGACGGGGGCCCGCACAAGCGGCGGAGCAUGCGGAUUAAUUCGAUGCAACGCGAAGAACCUUACCAAGGCUUGACAUAUACCGGAAACGGCUGGAAACAGUCGCCCCGCAAGGUCGGUAUACAGGUGGUGCAUGGUUGUCGUCAGCUCGUGUCGUGAGAUGUUGGGUUAAGUCCCGCAACGAGCGCAACCCUCGUCCUAUGUUGCCAGCACGUAAUGGUGGGAACUCAUGGGAUACUGCCGGGGUCAACUCGGAGGAAGGUGGGGAUGACGUCAAAUCAUCAUGCCCCUUAUGUCUUGGGCUUCACGCAUGCUACAAUGGCCGGUACAAAGGGCUGCGAUACCGCAAGGUGGAGCGAAUCCCAAAAAGCCGGUCUCAGUUCGGAUUGAGGUCUGCAACUCGACCUCAUGAAGUCGGAGUCGCUAGUAAUCGCAGAUCAGCAACGCUGCGGUGAAUACGUUCCCGGGCCUUGUACACACCGCC
rnacentral:rRNA from 1 species